UACGUAGGGGGCAAGCGUUGUUCGGAAUUACUGGGCGUAAAGCGCGCGUAGGCGGUUUGGAAAGUCAGAUGUGAAAGCCCCGGGCUCAACUUGGGAACUGCAUUUGAUACUGCCAGACUAGAGUACAGAAGAGGUUACUGGAAUUCCCAGUGUAGCGGUGAAAUGCGUAGAUAUUGGGAGGAACACCAGAUGCGAAGGCGGGUCACUGGGCUGAUACUGACGCUGAAGUGCGAAAGCCAGGGGAGCGAACGGG
rnacentral:rRNA from 1 species